rnacentral:lncRNA from 1 species
CUUCUCCCUCUCCACUCCCCCCAGCUUGUGCUCUCUCGUGUUUACUCUCUCUCUUUCAAAUAAAUACAUAAAAUCUUAAAAAAAAAUUCCCAAAUAAAUAAAAGCAGUAACAAUCUCCAAGUUUGAAAUAGAGAUCCACGAUCACUGUUUCUCCUCGCCUUCCUCUGUCCCUUCGAUCUGUCUUCUGCCUCCUCCCGUGCACUGCUUCUGCUAAGACGAUGGAUGACAUCAUAACUACUAUCUCAACGGUCAUUUCUUAUUCCUUAUCUUGUUUGCUUGAUCUCCCUGUCCAUCUAGAGUUGAGAAGAAGUCAUCGGAGAGGAUGAAAGAUGAUCCAGAAAGCAUGGUAUCCUGGACGUCUACGGAAGAAUCUUAAGGAAGAAGUGAUCAACGUUGUCAAAUACUGCAGAGAGAUGGGAACAAAAAAGUCAUCCUGUGCUUUUUGGCUGGGCUGGGAUUCUACAAACUGCUUUUCCCAAAUUCCCAAGCCCAUUUCCUCCUUAUUAUGUUCUGUCAAUGGAAGGUUCUGAUGGCAGAUUGAAAGUAAGAAGGGACCUCUGGUUGCCACCUUCAAUCACCCCAAGGGUGAGGUAUCUUGAUGGACAAUCCUACCUACCUGUAAGAAGUUUGGAGAAGAAAGAGGAACUCAACCAAAAGAAAUUUAGCAUGCUGUUUCCUCAAGAAGGAAGAAUGGAUUAUAGCCAGCAAUUAUAACAAAUUUUCACUAUAUUGAACUUCAGAAGCAGUCUUCUGUUGUAAAUUACAAUGCAUUGUGUACUAAAACUUUGAAUAAAAGAACAACGAUCUUGGGGUGGAAUGCUCAGAGCAAUUUUUCUAAAAGAAGGUUCUACAUGUGAAGCCUUGUUAUCACUACUUAUGGACUGGGACAGACCAGGAGGAGUUUCCUAUUCAAUAUUUUUCAUUUGACAAAUAUUUAUUUACUCCGCCCCAGUGAUUCUAAGUCUAAGCCCCAGGGAUUCUGGACUAGGUCAUUUCCUUUAUUCACUGUCACCAACGCAGAGCUCAUGUUGCUUAACAUUAACAACCAGCACAACGGGGUAAGUUGGCCUUUCAGAAAUCCAGAGGGACACCCAUGAAAGUUAAAUAUUAACACAUAUAUAAGUAUAAAACAAUGACUUCACUUUACCUAAUAAAAUAUCACAAUACUAAAUGAAAACAAAGUACAAGUUCAAGCAAGUACAGUGUUUUCUACUUUCCAAUAAUUUCCUUCAGCUCCCUCUAACACAAGUGCAUUAAACAAUAUUUUAAGAGAAAUGACUAAGAAUUCUAUUACAUUAAGACAAUUCAUUUGUGUGCCAUUCUUUGUUUUUAUUUUUUUCAAAAAUGUGUGGGGUUUUUCUUCCCCUGCUUAUAAGAGUAAUGUUUGUCCACUGGAGAAUUCUUUUAUUUUUUUUUAAAGAUUUAUUUAUUUAUUUGACAGAGAGAGAUCACAAGUAGGCAGAGAGAGAGAGAGAGAGGAGGAAGCAGGCUCCCUGCUGAGCAGAGAGCCCGAUGCGGGACUCGAUCCCAGGACCCCGAGAUCAUGACCUGAGCUGAAGGCAGCGGCUUAACCCACUGAGCCACCCAGGCGCCCCUGGAGAAUUCUUUUAAAUAGAGCAAUGUAUGAAUAAGAAAAUAACCAUCAGGGGUGCCUGGGUGGCUCAGUGGGUUAAGCCGC